UGGGGAAUAUUGCACAAUGGGCGCAAGCCUGAUGCAGCCAUGCCGCGUGUGUGAAGAAGGCCUUCGGGUUGUAAAGCACUUUCAGCGGGGAGGAAGGCGGUGAGGUUAAUAACCUCAUCGAUUGACGUUACCCGCAGAAGAAGCACCGGCUAACUCCGUGCCAGCAGCCGCGGUAAUACGGAGGGUGCAAGCGUUAAUCGGAAUUACUGGGCGUAAAGCGCACGCAGGCGGUCUGUCAAGUCGGAUGUGAAAUCCCCGGGCUCAACCUGGGAACUGCAUUCGAAACUGGCAGGCUAGAAUCUUGUAGAGGGGGGUAGAAUUCCAGGUGUAGCGGUGAAAUGCGUAGAGAUCUGGAGGAAUACCGGUGGCGAAGGCGGCCCCCUGGACAAAGACUGACGCUCAGGUGCGAAAGCGUGGGGAGCAAACAGG
rnacentral:rRNA from 1 species